rnacentral:rRNA from 1 species
CGUGUAGGCGGCCAGGUAGGUCCGACGUGAAAACUGGAGGCUCAACCUCCAGCUGUCGUUGGAAACCAUCUGGCUAGAGUCCGGAAGAGGAGAGUGGAAUUCCUGGUGUAGCGGUGAAAUGCGCAGAUAUCAGGAAGAACACCAAUGGCGAAGGCAGCUCUCUGGGACGGUACUGACGCUGAGACGCGAAGCGUGGGAGCGAACA